CAGCCGCCGCGGUAAUACGUAGGGUGCAAGCGUUAAUCGGAAUUACUGGGCGUAAAGCGUGCGCAGGCGGUUUGUUAAGACAGAUGUGAAAUCCCCGGGCUCAACCUGGGAACUGCAUUUGUGACUGGCAAGCUAGAGUGUGGCAGAGGGGGGUGGAAUUCCGCGUGUAGCAGUGAAAUGCGCAGAUAUGCGGAGGAACACCGAUGGCGAAGGCAAUCCCCUGGGCCUGCACUGACGCUCAUGCACGAAAGCGUGGGGAGCAAACAGGAUUAGAUACCCCUGUAGUCCCUGUCUCUUAUAC
rnacentral:rRNA from 1 species